ACAGGCAGGGAUGGAUCAGGCCGGGUAAAACGGAUUCCCCCAACUGGACUUGCUCCGUACUCUGCACGAUCUGGCCAGUGGCCAGCGUUCGAUUGGGAGCCGGGAGUGUUUCGGGCGUAGCGCGCUCUUGCCUUAUUCCUCUAGAUCCCAGGCAAACAUGAGAGUGAAAGUUCCACACGGAGGCGGCGAUUGGCUGUUCUCGUUCACCACGUGACCAGGCCUCCGGAGCUGCGAUUGGCUGAGAGCUGAGAGAGGGCGGAAGCCAAGGUGGUGGUGCGCGGAGCUUCUUUGAGCCAAGAGGCAACCAGGCCUUUCAUUUCAUUGUUGCACGGUGUGCAUUUUGCACUCUCGUAUUACAGGUGAGGGUUUUCUGCAAACGUUGACGCGUGAAACCAUACAACGACUCGGUAACCUAGAAUGCUGAGCAGUCUUAGCGGUUUGCAUGAUUCCUCCUCGACGUCCCGUACCACUAACCCACCAGUGCUUAAAAAGCCUAGCCUCACUGUGGGCGCCCAAAGUGCCGUCAAGUCGGUGUCGAUUCUGAGCAACCACAUAGAGAGAGUCUCUCCAGGAUGAUCAACUUGGCUUUUAAGGUCUCCUGGUGCUGCAUUCAUGGCUGUCCUCAUCGAGUCCACCCACCUUGCUGCUGGUCGUCUUCUUCUUCUCUUAGAUAAAUAAUAUGUUUUAAUAGAUAAAAUAGAUAGCUAAGAAUGUAUUUUUCUCUAUUGUGAUUUUUAUCUGCUUUGUGAAUUUUAAGUGAUAUACUUUGUGUCCUGUUUUCAUUUGUACACUACCUAGAGAAUUCUAUAUUAGGCGGUAUCGGAAUUCAAUCAAUAGAGGGAAGAUGCCUCCGAAUCCCAGUUGCAGGGCAGCAGCCGCAGGAGGGAGGGCCUGCCCCUUCCAGCUCUUGCCUGUGGGCUUCCUCGAGGCCUCUGGUGGGCCACUGUGUGAAUCAGGAUGCUGGACUAGAUGGGCCUCCUCCUUGGGCCUGAUCCGGCAGCAGGGCUCUUCGGAUGUCCAUAAACUGCUUGCAGAGCUCCAUGGAAGUGCUUGCACUGGGCCCAGGACAGGCUCCGGAGAUCCCUCCACGCAAUCACAGCAUGCACCUGCAGUCGAACCCUCUGCAGACACAUUGCUCCUUCAGCUGCGUCAGACUUCUUCGUUGGGAGGUCUGGGGGCCAGUGGCUGUCCCCAUCAGCCCAAAGAGCGCUCCCCCUGGCGAAUUGCCUGUUGGGCCUGUGUGAUGCUUGGGUCAAAGCUAGGUUCUCUGUCAGAGGGAAUCCCAGAUGAUGCUGACUACAGCUCCCAGAAUCCCUAGCUGCAGUGGGCUUUGGCUGAGGAUGCUGGGAGUUGUGGUCAACAGCGUCUGGGAUUUUCCGUUAGAGGGGACCCUGCCUGACCCCAUGCAGUGUUACGCUUUGCCCAGCGCCUGGGCUCCUUUAAGGGGAACGGAGCCCUCUUAAGCCCCUGCAACCUCUUGGGAGUGCUGGGAAAGGCCCCUGCCAACUGAGCCAAGAGGCACCUUUUAAGAGUGGCGAUUCUCUUACAUUUCGCAGGGGGAGAGCAACUGGCCCUCUACGACCCCAGCACAGCAUCCCUCCAGUGGCUGUUGCUGGGGUCUGUCUUAUAUUCGCUUUUUAGAUUGUGAGCCCUUUCGGGACAGGGGACCCUCUUGAUUUAUUUAUACCUAUGUAAACCGCUUUGGGAACUUGGUAUAUAAAUAUUCAUCGUUGUAUAUAAAUCUCUGUCGUCA